rnacentral:rRNA from 1 species
GACGAACGCUGGCGGCGUGCUUAACACAUGCAAGUCGAACGGUGAAGGGGUCUGCUUUUGUGGGCCCUGGAUGAGUGGCGCACGGGUGAGUAACACGUGAGUAACCUGCCCCCUUCUUCUGGAUAACCGCAUGAAAGUGUGGCUAAUACGGGAUAUUCUGGGUCCGUCGCAUGAUGGGUCUGGGAAAGAUUGCGCCUUUGGGUGUUUUUGGUGGGGGAUGGGCUCGCGGCCUAUCAGCUUGUUGGUGGGGUGAUGGCCUACCAAGGCGGUGACGGGUAGCCGGGCUGAGAGGGUGGACGGUCACACUGGGACUGAGACACGGCCCAGACUCCUACGGGAGGCAGCAGUGGGGAAUAUUGCACAAUGGGCGCAAGCCUGAUGCAGCGACGCCGCGUGAGGGAGGGAGGCCUUCGGGUUGUAAACCUCUUUCGCCAGUGAAGCAGGCCUGCUCCUUGUGGGUGGGUUGACGGUAGCUGGAUAAGAAGCGCCGGCUAACUACGUG